rnacentral:rRNA from 1 species
CAGUUAAAAAGCUCGUAGUUGGAUUUCUGUGGGGACGGAGCGGCCGGCCGCACAUCGCGGUUCGAGCUAGCGCUUUCCCUACAUCCUGCCGCGAACCGUGCUACCAUUAGUUUGGUGGCGCUGGGGAUCGGCUCGAUUACUUUGAGAAAAAUAGAGUGUUCAAAGCAGGCCACACGCCUUGAAUAAGUUAACAUGGAAUAAUAACUAAGGACUUCGGUUCUAUUUUGUUGGUGUUCGGGACUGAAGUAAUGAUUGAUAGGGACAGUUGGGGCGGUCAGUAUUCCAAAGCGAGAGGUGAAAUUCUUAGACCUUCGGAAGACUAACAGCUGCGAAAGCGUUCCGCAAGGAUGUUCCCUUUGAUCAAGAACGAAAGUUGGGGGAUCGAAGACGAUCAGAUACCGUCGUAGUCUCAACUAUAAACUAUACCAGCUAGGGAUCGGCCAACGUUAUUUUAUACCGACUUGGUCGGCACCUUAUGAGAAAUCAAAGCAUCUGGGUUCCGGGGGGAGUAUGGUCGCAAGGCUGAAACUUAAAGGAAUUGACGGAAGGGCACCACCAGCCGUGGAGCCUGUGG